rnacentral:rRNA from 1 species
CCUACGGGGUGCAGCAGUGAGGAAUAUUGGUCAAUGGACGAGAGUCUGAACCAGCCAAGUAGCGUGAAGGAUGACUGCCCUAUGGGUUGUAAACUUCUUUUAUACAGGAAUAAAACGAGGCACGUGUGCCUUUUUGCAUGUACUUUAUGAAUAAGGAUCGGCUAACUCCGUGCCAGCAGCCGCGGUAAUACGGAGGAUCCGAGCGUUAUCCGGAUUUAGUGGGUUUAAAGGGAGCGUAGAUGGGUUGUUAAGUCAGUUGUGAAAGUUUGCGGCUCAACCGUAAAAUUGCAAUUGAUACUGGCAGUCUUGAGUACAGUUGAGGUAGGCGGAAUUCGUGGUGUAGUGGUGAAAUGCUUAGAUAUCACGAAGAACCCCGAUUGCGAAGGCAGCUUACUAAACUGUGACUGACAUUGAUGCUCGAAAGUGUGGGUAUCAAACAGGAUUAGAUACCCUUGUAGUC